rnacentral:rRNA from 1 species
GAUGAACGCUGGCGGCGUGCCUAAUACAUGCAAGUCGAGCGAACGGACGAGAAGCUUGCUUCUCUGAUGUUAGCGGCGGACGGGUGAGUAACACGUGGAUAACCUACCUAUAAGACUGGGAUAACUUCGGGAAACCGGAGCUAAUACCGGAUAAUAUUUUGAACCGCAUGGUUCAAAAGUGAAAGACGGUCUUGCUGUCACUUAUAGAUGGAUCCGCGCUGCAUUAGCUAGUUGGUAAGGUAACGGCUUACCAAGGCAACGAUGCAUAGCCGACCUGAGAGGGUGAUCGGCCACACUGGAACUGAGACACGGUCCAGACUCCUACGGGAGGCAGCAGUAGGGAAUCUUCCGCAAUGGGCGAAAGCCUGACGGAGCAACGCCGCGUGAGUGAUGAAGGUCUUCGGAUCGUAAAACUCUGUUAUUAGGGAAGAACAUAUGUGUAAGUAACUGUGCACAUCUUGACGGUACCUAAUCAGAAAGCCAGGGCUAACUACGUG